UUGUAACUUGAUUCAAUCACGGGAUUGAAUCAAGGGGUAAAGGUUUGUUGGUGAGCCAAAGGGAAAACCAACGGGUAAAGGUUUGUUGGUGAGCCAAAGGGAAAACCAACGGAUUAAGGUUUGUUGGUGAGCCAAAGGGAAAACCAACGGGAUUUUAGGUUUGUUGGUGAGCCGAGGGUAAAACCAACGUGUAAGGGUUUGAUUGUGAUCCCGGGAAAACAAUCGGAGUGGUUCUAGUCGGUGAGCCUGGGAAAACCGACCGAGUUCGUUGUGCGCUCGUAAAACAACAAGUUGGGUUGUGAGCUUGUAAAACAACCGGCUGUAAUCUGUAGGAUUAUAGUGAAAUUCCCAAGAAGUCUUG
rnacentral:lncRNA from 1 species